GUGCCAGCCGCCGCGGUAAUACGGAGGGUGCAAGCGUUAAUCGGAAUUACUGGGCGUAAAGCGCACGCAGGCGGUCUGUCAAGUCGGAUGUGAAAUCCCCGGGCUCAACCUGGGAACUGCAUUCGAAACUGGCAGGCUGGAGUCUUGUAGAGGGGGGUAGAAUUCCAGGUGUAGCGGUGAAAUGCGUAGAGAUCUGGAGGAAUACCGGUGGCGAGGGCGGCCCCCUGGACAAAGACUGACGCUCAGGUGCGAAAGCGUGGGGGAGCAAACAGGAUUAGAUACCCUGGUAGUCCACGCCGUAAACGAUGUCGAUUUGGAGGUUGUGCCCUUGAGGCGUGGCUUCCGGAGCUAACGCGUUAAAUCGACCGCCUGGGGAGUACGGCCGCAAGGUUAAAACUCAAAUGAAUUGACGGGGGCCCGCACAAGCGGUGGAGCAUGUGGUUUAAUUCGAUGCAACGCGAAGAACCUUACCUGGUCUUGACAUCCACAGAACUUAGCAGAGAUGCUUUGGU
rnacentral:rRNA from 1 species